rnacentral:rRNA from 1 species
GACGAACGCUGGCGGCGUGCUUAACACAUGCAAGUCGAACGGAAAGGCCCUGCUUUUGUGGGGUGCUCGAGUGGCGAACGGGUGAGUAACACGUGAGUAACCUGCCCUUGACUUUGGGAUAACUUCAGGAAACUGGGGCUAAUACCGGAUAGGAGCUCCUGCUGCAUGGUGGGGGUUGGAAAGUUUCGGCGGUUGGGGAUGGACUCGCGGCUUAUCAGCUUGUUGGUGGGGUAGUGGCUUACCAAGGCUUUGACGGGUAGCCGGCCUGAGAGGGUGACCGGCCACAUUGGGACUGGGAUACGGCCCAGACUCCUACGGGAGGCAGUAGUGGGGAAUAUUGCACAAUGGGCGGAAGCCUGAUGCAGCAACGCCGCGUGCGGGAUGACGGCCUUCGGGUUGUAAACCGCUUUCGCCUGUGACGAAGCGUGAGUGACGGUAAUGGGUAAAGAAGCACCGGCUAACUACGUG